rnacentral:rRNA from 1 species
AUUGAACGCUGUCGGCAGGCCUAACACAUGCAAGUCGAACGAGUGGCGGACGGGUGAGUAAUGUCUGGGAAACUGCCCGAUGGAGGGGGAUAACUCCUGGAAACGGUAGCUAAUACCGCAUACCAUCGGAUGUGCCCAGCUGGGAUUAGCUAGUAGGUGGGGUAACGGCUCACCUAGGCGACGAUCCCUAGCGGGUAUGAGAGGAUGACCAGCGAUACUGGAACUGAGACACGGUCCAGACUCCUACGUGAGGCAGCAGUGGGGAAUAUUGCACAAUGGGCGCAAGCCUGAUGCAGCCAUGCCGCGUGUAUGAAGAAGGCCUUCGGGUUGUAAAGUACUUUCAGCGGGGAGGCGUUACCCGCAGAAGAAGCACCGGCUAACUCCGUGCCAGCCGCCGCGGUAAUUC